GAUGUAUAAAAAGGGUUUAAUGCAUAUAUAAGCUAUCCCAUAAUUUUUGGUUAAUUAUUUGGAGUUGAAAAAGUAUUUUAUUCAAACAGAUAUAUAGCCCUAAAGUCAUUUAUAGGGCAAAUGUAUUUUUAUAUAUUUUAUUUUGAAGAGAAACUACUUCCAAAAGUUGUAUCAUGGUAGAACAUGAUUUUACAAAUUUUCUGGAAUUUAUUUGGACCAAUUUGGAGUUCAGACUCAAAAGAUAUCAAAGAAAUGGGAAAAACAGAAAAAGAAAAGGUCUAAAAGAAAAAAAAAGGGGGUAAACGGACCGGCCCGGCCGAAUUGGGCCGAAACGGCCCAACUCCCCCGCGCGCGCCACAGCCCAGCUGGCCCAGCCGGCCG
rnacentral:lncRNA from 1 species